AUACGUAGGUGGCAAGCGUUGUCCGGAUUUACUGGGCGUAAAGAGCGCGCAGGCGGCCAAGUAAGUCGAAUGUGAAAGCCCCCGGCUCAACUGGGGAAGGUCAUUCGAUACUGCUUGGCUUGAAGAUAGGAGAGGGAAGUGGAAUUUCAGGUGUAGUGGUGAAAUGCGUAGAUAUCUGAAGGAACACCAGUGGCGAAGGCGACUUUCUGGCCUAUUCUUGACGCUGAGGCGCGAAAGCUAGGGGAGCGAACGGGAUUAGAAACCCCAGUAGUCC
rnacentral:rRNA from 1 species